rnacentral:lncRNA from 1 species
UCUGUGUAAUCAUGCGAAAGAAAAGUCGCAUUCUACUUUCAUCGUUUUAGAAUCACCAUGAAAGGCUCAAUACUUGUUAUUGUAUCCUUCAUUUUAUUGCACUUUUUUGAAUAUUCGACGGGAGCUGUAUUUCACGACGAGCUAAAGAAAGAAAUUGUGUAUGGGAAGAAGGUAAAGUUUUGCGAGUAUAAAGGUCUGAGGUUGUUACGCCGGUCUGUCAUCAAGAACUAUGACACUUGUGCAAAAUGCAGGUGCAAAAAGGAUGGUCUUACGUGCUAUACAAUGUUUCCAUUGAUUAUGAGCCGGAAGAUUCUAUGUGUACAUAUAUCUUGGUGGGAUGUAAAGUUAAAUGGGUGCUAAAGAGCGACAACAAUGCACGGUGUCCAGACACACUGAUCCCGAGAGAUUUAUCUGCAAAUGGAAAAUAGACAAAUAUGCUAUUGUAAUAUUUGUAAAAUUAGAUGUAUCUAUCCUGCAUUUAACGAAAAUGUAAAUAUUUAAAUUUGUUUGACUGCAACAA